rnacentral:rRNA from 1 species
GGCCAAACAUGUCAGGAGGAUUGCACAGCCGUUUACAACAGCUAACCUGGAACUGGCGCUGAGAAGGGGAAUCCAACUGUUUAAUUGAAACAUAGCAUUGAGAGAUGGCAUGUUGAGGUCGUCGUAGACUCAAGGUGCGUCCUGCCCAGUGCUCUGAAUGUCAUUGCAAAGAGAUUUUUCCAAGCUCGGGUAAACGGCGGGAGUAACUAUGACUCUCUUAAGGUAGCCAAAUGCCUCGUCUUCUAAUUAAAGACGCGCAUGAAUGGAUUAAUGAGAUUCCCACUGUCCCUGGUUACUAUCCAGCGAACCCACAGUCAAGGGAACGGGCUUGAAGUCUUCAGCGGGGAAAGAAGACCCUGUUGAGUUUGACUCUAAUCUGGACUUGUGCAGCGACACCUUCGUUGUAGUAUAGGUGGGAGGUUUACCAACAGUGAAAUACCACUACUUAGGUAGUUGCUUUGCUCAUCGCAUGAGAAUGGAACGGCAGUCGCCGGCUCCUUCGGGGUCGGUUAGAGGCGUGCCUUCGGGCGCGUCUCGGUGCUUAACCGUUUAUUAUUGUAAAUCCUUCGGGAUGACCAAUAGCUGUGAGACAUUUGCCAGAUGGGGAGUUUGGCUGGGGCGGCAUAUCUGUUAAACAUUAACGCAGGUGUCCUAAGGCACACUCCGUGAGAACAGAAAUCUUACGUGGCGCAUAAGGGCAAAAGUGUGCUUGAUCUCUCGAUCUUCAGUACUGAUCCAGACUGUGAAAGCAAGGCCUAACGAUCCUUUGUACCCAUUUAUGUUCAGAGUACGAAGUCAGAGGUGACAGAAAAAUUACCACAGGGAUAACUGGCUUGUGGCUGCCAAGAGCUCAUAUCGACGCUGCUUUUUGAUCCUUCGAUGUCGGCUCUUCCUAUCCUUACCCCGCAGCAGAGGUAAAGGGUUGGAUUGUUCACCCAUCAAAAGGGAACGUGAGCUGGGUUUAGACCGUCGUGAGACAGGUUGGUUUUACCCUACUGAAGAAAUUGGGAUGUGUUGAAGGCAAUCUGGGGUAGUACGAAAGGAACACCCAUUUCGCGCUUCUGGUUUAUGCACCUAGUUGAAAAGCUAUGGUGCGAAGCUACGCGCGAUGAAGUACGGCUGAAGGCCUCUUAAGCCGGAACUCCGUCCAGUGACACAUCCACCCUUUACCGGGGUGCGGUGCAUUGUGAGACUCUGGGACGUGCUCAUCAGCAUGUCAGCGGAUUAGUCGACCGACACGUCCAAACAGCGACCGUCGGUCUCUGGUCCAAGAAACACCCAACGUUUCUGUACCGUUGU